rnacentral:rRNA from 1 species
UGCUGGAGGUAUCAGAAGUGCGAAUGCUGACAUAAGUAACGAUAAAGCGGGUGAAAAGCCCGCUCGCCGGAAGACCAAGGGUUCCUGUUCAACGUUAAUCGGAGCAGGGUGAGUCGACCCCUAAGGCGAGGCCGAAAGGCGUAGUCGAUGGGAAACAGGUUAAUAUUCCUGUACUCGGUGUUACUGCGAAGGGGGGACGGAGAAGGCUAUAUCAGCCGGGCGACGGUUGUCCC